rnacentral:rRNA from 1 species
CCUACGGGAGGCAGCAGUAGGGAAUCUUCCACAAUGGGCGAAAGCCUGAUGGAGCAACGCCGCGUGGGUGAAGAAGGUCUUCGGAUCGUAAAGCUCUGUUGUUAGCGAAGAAAGUGCGUGAGAGUAACUGUUCACGUUUCGACGGUAUCUAACCAGAAAGCGACGGCUAACUACGUGCCAGCCGCCGCGGUAAUACGUAGGUGGCAAGCGUUAUCCGGAUUUAGUGGGCGUAAAGGGAACGCAGGCGGUCUUUUAAGUCUGAUGUGAAAGCCUUCGGCUUAACCGGAGUAGUGCAUUGGAAACUGGGAGACUUGAGUGCAGAAGAGGAGAGUGGAACUCCAUGUGUAGCGGUGAAAUGCGUAGAUAUAUGGAAGAACACCAGUGGCGAAGGCGGCUCUCUGGUCUGUAACUGACGCUGAGGUUCGAAAGCGUGGGGAGCAAACAGGAUUAGAUACCCUAGUAGUC